rnacentral:rRNA from 1 species
UACGUAGGGUGCGAGCGUUGUCCGGAAUUAUUGGGCGUAAAGGGCUCGUAGGCGGUCUGUCGCGUCGGUAGUGAAAACUCAGGGCUUAACCCUGAGCCUGCUUCCGAUACGGGCAGACUAGAGGUAUGCAGGGGAGAAUGGAAUUCCUGGUGUAGCGGUGAAAUGCGCAGAUAUCAGGAGGAACACCGGUGGCGAAGGCGGAUCUCCGGGCCAUUACUGACGCUGAGGAGCGAAAGCGUGGGGAGCGAACAGG